GACGGAGGAGGCGGUCAGAUGGGGACGCGGCUCAGCAUGGCCUCCUGGGCGGCUGAGCGGGCGCCGCUGGGCCUCCCCACGCUCCCCCUCUCCAAUGGCUUACACAUCCCCGUGCUGGGGCUGGGUACAUCCCAUCAAGGUGGAUAUUCCCAUGAUGCUGUGGUGUAUGCACUACAAAAAUGUGGCAUUCGUCAUAUUGAUACAGCAAAAAGAUACGGCUGUGAAUCACUCCUUCAGAAAGCUAUCAAAGAAAGUGAUGUGAAGCGAGAGGACCUCUGGAUAACUACCAAACUCUGGCAUACCGACUAUGGCUAUGAAAACACAAAACAAGCCUGCCUGGAAUCAUGCAAAAGACUUGGUGUUCAGUACCUUGAUCUUUAUUUGGUACACUGGCCCGAUGCACAAGUUCCUGGUAAAAGUAAUCGUGAGAUCCGAGCCGAAACCUGGAGAGCCAUGGAGGACCUAUAUGAGAAAGGUAUAUGUCGGUCUAUUGGUGUAAGCAAUUUUCUCAUUAAUCAUUUGGAGCAACUUAAGGAAGAUUGUAAGAUAACCCCACAUGUUAAUCAGGUUGAAUAUCACCCUUUCCAAAGGCCCCAAGAGCUGGUGGAUUAUUGUAGAAGUAGAAACAUUGUUUUUGAAGGCUACUGCCCAUUAGCCAAAGGCGAAGCUCUUACUCAUCCUAAUAUAAUUCAGCUGGCAAAGAAAUAUGGCAAAACCCCUGCACAGAUCUGUAUACGCUGGAGCAUACAGAAUGGGAUUGUCACUAUUCCAAAAUCUACAAAAAUAGAAAGGAUACGGGAAAACUGUGAGGUGUUUGAUUUUAUACUAGCAGAAGAUGAUGUUGCAAUUAUAAAUGGAAUGCAUGAUGGGCAGCAUGUUUCCUGGGACCCAAGCUCUAUUGUGUAAAUUGCAAGGUUUGAGCUUUUUUUCUUGCGUCAGUGAUCAGCCAUCCACACACUUCAAUUUAAAUUUGUAGUCUCAUAGUAGAAUGUAAUUGUUAUGUUGAUGGCUAUCAGUAGUUAUAACUGAUUUAAAAUCUGUAACAUACAAAAGGAACAUUUUCUUAUGAUAAUAUUGUCAAACAGAUGUGAAAAAUUUCAGUCUAAAAUAUUGCUCUAUUGGUAAAUUGCAUAUGAUUUAUAUUGUACUUAGUGUUUUGUGCUCUUUGGGCCUGAUCUGAAGUUCAUGGAAAGUCUCCCACUGAUUUCAUUAGGCUUUGAACAGGACCAUUUAUACGGAAAAUAUUAGGCUACACCUCUUCUUUAGAAAUGAAAGGAAAGUGGUAUUAAGAAACACAUGAUUCAGUGCAAAAUGACUUGUCAGGUGACUUUUCAGGUGACUUGUUAGGCAGAUGGUUAGAAGUGUGAAGGAGAGAAUGCUGGGUGAGAGUUAAAAAAACAAGCUGUAUUAUUAUUUGUUAUUACAGUAGUGCCUAGGAGCCCCAGUCAUGGACCAGGGCCCCUCACUAUGCUAACACAGAACAAAAGAGACAGUCCCAGCCCCGGAGAAUUUACAAUCUAAGAAGUAGUGUGGAAACAGAAUUAGAAAACAGAACACAGAACAAAAAAUGUACAAGUUAAACUACUCCUGAGGCAGAUCUACUGUGGGAAUCUUAGUCGUGUGAGGGAGAGCAAUGAAGGAAUGACCAAUGCCAGGCAUAGACUCCUAUAGGAAAUAGGGAUAUACAUAUUGACACCAUUGCAAAUAUAGGGUUUGAUCCUGCUGUCCUUAUUCAUGUGAGUGUCCAUUCAGUAGUUUUAUCUGUGUGCAUAUAGCAAGAAAGAUUCAACUCACAAUGAAAUUAAAUAAAAAAUGUACAUACACACUCUCCAGCCAUUACACAAAAGGUACAUCACAUCACCUUAUUUUCACACCCCUUGAGCCAGUUCUCUAUGGCUCACUUCUGCACUGGCUUGAACAUCCUUAGGGUCAAUCAGGCUGGUGCACAGCUAUGUGUGUGGGAUCAAGAGAUCAGGAUACCUCAUAACACAGGGUCCAGAUUUGGCCCAUAAUAUUUAAAGCACAGCCGCAAUCAUUGUCAAUAAACAGCAAAAAUGCAUAUGUCUGUUUCUUUCCUUUGCUUUUUUUAGUAACUGAAAUUUGAUACAGGAGUUUGUUUUGUUUGUUUGUAACCAGCUAAUCCACUUAGCAGAAACAGGACAGAUCUAAUAUCUGCCUAAUUUCUCUUUUCUUAUUCAUAUUGCAGCCAUGAGUGUUUUGUGCAGCAAGAAUUAGUUUAAUUUUCUCUUUGGUGCAGUCAUUCAGGAAAUCUCAUUCACAGCACAUACUGUUCCUUUGAUUUUUUUGCUAAAAAUGUGUACAUACCGUUUACAGAUAUAUUUUGGGAAAUAUAUUUGCAAGCUCUUAUAAACAGAGCAUUCAGCGUAUAAUCACGUUGGUCUGAUAUUUUAGGAGUUCCUGUGUCUAGAAAGGUAUGGAAAAUCUGACUAUGAUUUACAUUGUGUUUAGACUUCCUGAGGCAGUUUUCCCACUGCCACUCAGUUUUAGUUAUAUCAUGAAACAAAGCUCCUUGGUUUUUAUCAAGAACCAACUUAUAGCAAAGCAUGUGUUCUGGCCAUGCAUUGUUGUUUGUCCUUAAAGUUUAGUUUCUACACAGCUAAUUGAAAUAUAGACACAGUUUUCUUCUUGGUUAUAGCUCCUUCAGAACUAUUGGCUAGUUCUGCAAACAUUCAAGAGAAAAAUAUGCCGAGGCCUAUCUCCGAAAGUACAAUAUCAUUUGCCAGAAUUUUAAAGUAAAGCUUACUGGGCCAAAUGCUGCCCUCACUUACACCCGUACAGCUCUGUGUUCGAAGAAAGAUUUUGAACCUUCCUAACAACGAUUAAAGGCCAACUUUUCAAAAGUAGCCUCUAAUUUGGCUGCCUCGGUUUCUAGAUGCCCAAAUUUAGAUGCUUAGGAGCCUGAUUUUCAGAGUUACUGAGAUCUGCAAAGUAGGCUCUAGGCACAUAAAAUUUAGACAUCCAAAAUGAGAAGCCAUUUUUUUUUUUAAUUUGGGCCUAUUAGUCAUCUUCUAAGGAGGACAGGAAUGAAUUCAGUGGCAAAGUGAGCAUGGGAGAGUUCUCUGAAAGAAAGCACAAAUAAACAUUUCUGCCAGUGAGCAUCAACUAAUGCACCUCUGAAAAGUCAUUUUAUAGAACAAUAAGUUAGUAUAAUGGAAUUCAUUAAAGAGUAUUCAAAUUAAGCAAUAAAACAAAACAUAUUGUGCACUAAUAAGCUGUUAGUGCAUUUAUUGGGCCUCAUAUGCAUUGAGAGACAUAAGAGAACCACCCAAGUGAACCAAUACCUCCUAUUGCAAGGCUUUGCUUAUCGUCACUGGGGAAUAUUUCAGAAACUACAGGAAAUAGUUUGGAGUUUUACCAGUAGUUACUUUGAAAAAACAACCAUCAUGCCAAAAUAUUGCCUCUUUUUUCAAGCAUAGUGAUGCAUAGGAAAAAAAAUGUGCCAGAUAUAGAAGUCUUUGCUUAGUUACAUUACUCCAGCAAAACUCCCAUUGAUGGAGUUUGUCAGAGUAAGGACCGAGGGAGCUUACUGGUCAACAGUUCUAGUUAGGCCAGAACAGGACCUAUUUUUUGCUCUCAUUCCCAGUGGUUUGUCUCACUGUUCUGAGCAGCUAGAACUAAGCCAUGAUUUCAUUGUAGUGUCCUCUCCAGGCCCAUUACAAGCUGCAGUGAUCACUUCAGAGGCAAGCUUUCUUCCUGCUUCCUUGCUGUAGCUCACUAUUCACUCUUCUGAGGCUGUUGUACAUCUGACAUAGCAUCUACUUCUGCUCAAAUCUGGGGUCAAGCAAGAGAGUCCACCAUCAGCUUUCUCCCUGCCUCCAACAGCGAUACCCAAAUGGUUAGGUGGGUAGUGGAAAGAAGUUCCCCAGGACAUGGGGACACAUCAUAGGACACGGCAAGUAACAAAAAUUAAAAUUACUAUCCCUGAAAGAGUUAGAGGGGGGAUUUCUUUGUGAAUCUAAAUACAUUUUGUGACAGUCUCACUGUUUUCCCUGUAGGGAUACAAAUAGUCAGUUUACUUCUGGUUGAGUGGGUUUUAUCACAGCUGAAAGGAACAAAAAGGUUUUUUACACCCCUAAACAUUGAAGAGGGUGAGGAGGGUUGAUCUCAGGUGUAGUACUUGAAACUGCUUUUAAUUGAUUUUUUUAAAUGGACUAGAUAUCAAGGGUAUGCCCAUUUAAUCAGCUGAACUAGUCACUAGACAUUUUAUUUCUACUGACAGGUUUCAGAGUAACAGCCGUGUUAGUCUGUAUUCACAAAAAGAAAAGGAGUACUUGUGGCACCUUAGAGACUAACCAAUUUAUUUGAGCAUGAGCUUUUGCUCACGGAAGCUCAUGCUCAAAUAAAUUGGUUAGUCUCUAAGGUGCCACAAGUACUCCUUUUCUUAUUUCUACUGAGUGGCUUGAAUAGUAUUUAAUACCAGCUAAUUAUAAAAUCAUGCCUUCUAAAUUUAAAGGCUGGUUUAUGUACAAAAUGAAAUCUCUUUUUGCUUGCAAGGAACAUGUUCACAAGGCUUGGGUGUCAAUUAUCAGAUAGAAAUAGUAUGUAUGGGAAAGGCUCAUUGCUAGUCCACUUCCUUUUAAGGAACAGUUACUGAAAGUAACUGUUUUACUUGGUAAUUCUUAUUUCUCUAACUACCCUUACACCUGGUUGUCCUGAGUGUAAGGAUUUUUUUGGUUUUUGCCUGAUCAUUUUAAAGUCAAGUGCACAGUACUUUGAGCUAAUGUAGGUUUCAUAAUGCUGUUACAAAGUUGACAUGUUAUCUUCCUUGCAGGCAUGAUGUGACAUGUAGUUCUGCACGUUGUGCCAUCACUAAUCACCACCCAUUGUUUCCUUUCGGAAGCACUAAUUCCCGCAGUAUCAUAAGAAUGGAAUCCUGUUAUCUCCUAGCUGCUGGGAAUAUAAUGCAUGUUACCACUGUAGCUUUCUUUCCCUUGUGAAUUGUUUUCUCAAGCUUAAUACUAAAAUAUUUAGUUUAAUUUAAGAGCUUUGGGGCAAAUUCUCUUUGUCUCUUUUGGCUUCAGUCAUGUUGGACCAUGAAAGAAUUGGGUUCAUUGGUUUCAUAUCUUACAUUUUUGACUUUACAACUAACUUUAUGCUGUUUAAAAAGGGAACUCUUGUCAUUUUCUGCGCUUCUUUCAGCCUUUCUUGAAUCAGAACUCCAUAUAGAUGUAUUUACACCAAUAUCCUAAUAUUCUUACAGUGUUCUUAUUUCUUUAAAGUAUUGUCCAACUAAUCAGAAAUGGUGGGGAAGGAAAAAAGGGCAAAUGAGCUGUUAGUUUAAAGGCAUCACUUGGCAUUGCUUUCAAGAUAUGAGUAACUGUGUUUUGUGCUAGAAGCAGGUAUACUCCGACUCAAUUACCAAGAAAACAAGCAGCACUAAAGGUUUUUGAUUUUAGUCUGAGGGAAGAAGAUCUGGAAUUUUUAGAUUCUUUGAA